rnacentral:rRNA from 1 species
GUCUAUGGCCAUGCCACCCUGAGCAAGCCCGAUCCCGUCUGCUCUCGGAAGCUAAGCAGGGUGGGCCUGGUUAGUACUUGGAUGGGAGACCACCGAGGAAGACCAGGUGCUGUAGGCG